GACGAACGCUGGCGGCGUGCUUAACACAUGCAAGUCGAACGGAAAGGCCCUGCUCUUGUGGGGUGCUCGUGUGGCGAACGGGUGAGUAACACGUGAGUAACCUGCCCUUGACUUUGGGAUAAAUUCAGGAAACUGGGGCUAAUACCGGAUAGUAGCUCCUGCUGCAAGGUGGGGGUUGGAAAGUUUCGGCGGUUGGAUCGACUCGCGGCUUAUCAGCUUGAUUGUGGAGUAGUGGCUUACUAAGGCUUUGUCGGGUAGCCGGCACGAGAGGGUCACAGGCCACAAUAGGCCUGAGAGACGGCCCAGACUGCAACGUGAGGCAGCAGUAGAGAAUCUUGCGCAGUGAGCGAACGCCUGAUGCAGAAACGCCGCGUGCGGGAGAACGGCCUUCUGGUUGUAAACGGCUUUCAGCGGAGACAAAGCGUGAGUGACGGUAAUGGAUAAAGUAGCCCCGGCUAACUACGUG
rnacentral:rRNA from 1 species